AGAGAAAGCUGAGGUGUAGGGAGAACAGGGUACUGCUCCAUUCAGACCCAGUGGUGGAUUCAGGGCCCGUGCCCUUGCCUGUGCAAGGAGGCUGGCAAAGGAAUAUGGUACCUAGGCAGCCAGAGAGGCUCCCCAAUGGUUUUCCAGCCCUGCCUGCCCCUUCCCAGGGACAGGAGGUGGAUGACUCUUGGGACAGGAGCCUCUAGAGUGUUCCUCUACCAGAUUCCUGAGGUGAGAGCUUCCUUCCAGGAAUUACUCCGCCUGACCCCACCCAGCUGGACUUCCUCUCUGUGACCCACAGCCAUAUCAUUUUCCUCAUUGGAGAUGGGAGUGUGGGAGGCCCAGGCCAUGGCCAGCUUUGGAAGUGCCCUGCCUCCCCUGUUGUAGGGGCAGCUGGUGCCUCUUUUUCCAUAAAAAGCAAGCCCUGGGGUCCUACCUUCCUGCUGAGCUUCUCCAGCACCCUGCCCCAGAUGACACCCAAAGGACCAGAAUCGGCCCCAUUCCCGGAACUCCGCAGCAACACUGUCCCGCUCGCCGCCCCAUGUGCAGUGUGAUGUUAUUAGGGUCCUCAAGAGAAGAAACAGAUGUCCUUACCAUUAUGUUACCACAGAGUCUAUUUGUCAUCCACCCUUUCCCAUGCCUGGGCCCUUUGUCUGUGUAGUCAGAUGUCGUGGCUGUUGGUGUGUUUAUCCAGCACUCCUUUCCCCUCCUCUUUCUUUUGGUGAACUGCUGCUUCUCCAGUCCAGUGUGUGAUUCCCCCCCCCCCAAUUGCUGUGCCUUAGGGGUGGGCUUGUACACCAUCACAAGAUGGUGACUCUUCUGAGGGCUGGAAACACAUCUGAGACAAGUGUGAUUGGAGUCUUUCUAUAGGAUGUGACAAGUGGAUAUUGGGAAAGGGAAGCACUCACUCCUUUAGCUUCAGGUAAGGUUUGAUCCAGAGACUGCGAUGAUGUCAUCAAGGACGGAGGGUCACUGUGUAUCUUUCCUCUACCCUCAGUGUUGUCCUCAUCCCCUGGCUCCUCAGAGUGGACUGUCAUCAGCAACAUGUUCCUCUUGUGUAUAAAAUAGGGAGGGGGUGGACAAUUCUACCUAAUCCACAGGCUUAAGAAUAUAAGAGGAAAAUGAAAGGUUUUUUUUGUUUGUUUGUUUUUUAACCAAAGGUAGGGUGAAUUCGUUUUGGACACCCAAACCACAGAUGUUCACACUCCUUUCUGUUGAAUUUGUUUUUAUUUCAAUGAUUUUAUUUUAAAUUUCCAAGAUUAUUUCAUGCUUUUUUUUUUUCAUAGCUGCCUCUUUUUGUCUUAAGAAUAAAAUGGAAUUAUGGGGCUCCUGGGUGGCUCA
rnacentral:lncRNA from 1 species